rnacentral:sRNA from 1 species
AAAAAAAAAAAAAAAAAAAUAACAGCAAAAAAAAACAAAAAAGGUACAGAUUCUGGUUGGAUCAAAUUGCGAAAUUUCGAAACAGUCCAGCUUGCACAGGGUUACAUU